CAGUGUUAGGCUUCGGCCUCAUUCACACCCCUUGUUGAACCUCUGGUUUCUUUGGCGAUGUCAUGGACUCGUCAAACUUUAACUCUGGGAAUGCGAUACUGUCCGAGUGCAAUCGAAUGAUUA
rnacentral:misc_RNA from 1 species